rnacentral:rRNA from 1 species
UACGUAGGCAGCGAGCGUUGUUCGGAGUUACUGGGCGUAAAGAGUGCGUAGGCGGUUUUCUAAGUUUGGUGUGAAAUCUCCCGGCUUAACUGGGAGGGUGCGCCGAAAACUGGAAGGCUUGAGUAUGGGAGAGGUAAGUGGAAUUCCUGGUGUAGCGGUGAAAUGCGUAGAUAUCAGGAGGAACACCUGCGGUGUAGACGGCUUACUGGACCAUAACUGACGCUGAGGCACGAAAGCGUGGGUAGCAAACAGG